rnacentral:rRNA from 1 species
UACGUAGGGGGCAAGCGUUGUCCGGAUUUAUUGGGCGUAAAGAGCGUGUAGGCGGCCAUGCAGGUCCGUUGUGAAAACUCGAGGCUCAACCUCGAGACGCCGGUGGAAACCGUAUGGCUAGAGUCCGGAAGAGGAGAGUGGAAUUCCUGGUGUAGCGGUGAAAUGCGCAGAUAUCAGGAAGAACACCCGUGGCGAAGGCGGCUCUCUGGUACGGAACUGACGCUGAGACGCGAAAGCGUGGGGAGCGAACAGG